rnacentral:rRNA from 1 species
GACGAACACUGGCGGCGUGCUUAACACAUGCAAGUCGAGCGGAAAGGCCCUGCGUUUGUGGGUUGCUCGAGUGGCGAACGGGUGAGUAACACGUGAGUAACCUGCCCUUCACUUUGGGAUAACUUCAGGAAACUGGGGCUCAUACCGGAUAGGAGCUCCUGCUGCAUGGUGGGUGUUGGAAAGUUUCGGCGGUUGGGAAUGGACUCGCGGCUUAUCAGCUUGUUGGUGGGGUAGUGGCUUACCACGGCUUUGACGGGUAGCCGGCCUGAGAGGGUGACCGGCCACAUUGGGACUGAGAUACGGCCCAGACUCCUACGGGAGGCAGCAGUGGGGAAUAUUGCACAAUGGGCGGAAGCCUGAUGCAGCAACGCCGCGUGCGGGAUGACGGCCUUCGGGUUGUAAACCGCUUUCGCCUGUGACGAAGCGUGAGUGACGGUAAUGGGUAAAGAAGCACCGGCUAACUACGUG